rnacentral:rRNA from 1 species
CCUACGGGUGGCAGCAGUGGGGAAUAUUGGACAAUGGGCGAAAGCCUGAUCCAGCCAUGCCGCGUGUGUGAAGAAGGCCUUCGGGUUGUAAAGCACUUUCAGUGGGGAAGAAAGCCUUGGGGCUAAUACCCUCGAGGAAGGACAUCACCCACAGAAGAAGCACCGGCUAACUCAGUGCCAGCAGCCGCGGUAAUACGGAGGGUGCGAGCGUUAAUCGGAAUUACUGGGCGUAAAGCGCGCGUAGGCGGUCUGAUAAGCCGGUUGUGAAAGCCCCGGGCUCAACCUGGGAACGGCAUCCGGAACUGUCAGACUAGAGUGCAGGAGAGGAGGGUAGAAUUCCCGGUGUAGCGGUGAAAUGCGUAGAGAUCGGGAGGAAUACCAGUGGCGAAGGCGGCCUUCUGGACUGACACUGACGCUGAGGGGCGAAAGCGUGGGGAGCAAACAGGAUUAGAUACCCUAGUAGUC